rnacentral:rRNA from 1 species
UACAGAGGGUGCGAGCGUUAAUCGGAAUUACUGGGCGUAAAGCGUGCGUAGACGGCUAUCUAAGUCGGGUGUGAAAGCCCCGGGCUCAACCUGGGAAUUGCAUUCGAGACUGAAUAGCUAGGGUACGGUAGAGGGAAGCGGAAUUUCCGGUGUAGCGGUGAAAUGCGUAGAUAUCGGAAGGAACAUCAGUGGCGAAAGCGGCUUCCUGGACCAGUACCGACGUUCAGGCACGAAAGCGUGGGGAGCAAGCAGG